rnacentral:rRNA from 1 species
AUGGUCGAAGGCUCGGAGACGGACAUCUCCAAUCUUAAGUUCCUUCUCCUCUGCUUCCAACAAAUGUCUGGCCUUAAGAUUAACUUCGACAAGAGUGAUGUGAUGGUGAUGGGCUACUCCCCGGCCGAGUCCCUUGCCAUUGCCAACCGGCUUAACUACUGCCUCGGCUCCUUUCCCACGACCUACUUGGGAACGCCCAUUAGUGACUCUCAGCUCACCGUCGCGGACCUGCACCCGACCGUGACCAAGCUCCAAACGCGCAUAGAGCCAUGGCAGGGUAGAUGGUUGUCAAAGGCGGCUCGGACUAUUCUCAUUAAUUCUUCCCUCUCCAGCCUCCUCUUGUUCCUCGUGAGCUUCUACAACCUUCAUGAAACUCUGCACCAUGAGAUCGCCAAAGUCCAGUCCCGCUUCUAUUGGGCAGGUGACAACAAUAAGCAGAAGUACCAUAUGGUCAGCUGGCCUGACAUUUGCAAGCCCAGGGAACAAGGAGGCCUCGGUAUCAUGUGCUCCAAGCGCAUGAAUAUCGCCCUUCUAUGCCGCUGGCUCUGGCGCAUCUCGCAAGAUCAUGGUGGCCUUUGGCUCGACGUCAUCUGGAACAAGUACCUGCGUGGACAGCCCCUUGCCUUCUGUCAGAGAUCUGGCGGCUCCCAGUUCUGGCAGUCGGUCGUUCAGCUUCUCCCUGUCCUUCGCAUCGGGACCUCCAUCUCGGUGGGGUCCGGAACGACGACUUUGUUCUGGUUUGACCGGUGGGCUGGAGACACCCCCUUCACCGCGCGCUUCCCUGACCUCUUCUCCAUCGCUGUCGACCCCUUGAUCUCAGUUGAGAGGGCCCUUAUUGACUUAGGGCGCCUUGCUUUCCGGAGGCCUUUUGGCCCCCCGGAGUCCGCCGCUUGGCGUGAGUUACUGGACUGUGGGGCUCUCCACGAGCCUGUGGUGGACGGUGGCCCGGAUCAGGUGAGAUGGCGGCUCGAGCCAUCGGGCCAAUUCUCCACCAAGUCUCUCUACCAGGCCAUCGCCCCCUCCUCCGCCCCUCCACCCUUACGACGGUGUGGUCCAUCUGCCUGCCUCUGA